CUACGGGAGGCAGCAGUGAGGAAUAUUCGGCAAUGGGGGCAACCCUGACCGAGCAACGCCGCGUGGAGGAUGACGGUUUUUGGAUUGUAAACUCCUUUUCUCAGGGAAGAGUGAGGACGGUACCUGAGGAAUAAGUCACGGCUAACUACGUGCCAGCAGCCGCGGUAAUACGUAGGUGGCAAGCGUUAUCCGGAAUUACUGGGCGUAAAGCGCACGCAGGCGGCUAUCUAAGAUUGACGUGAAAGCUGCGGCUUAACUGGCAGAGGUCGUUGAUGACUGGAUGGCUUGAGACGAGGAGAGGGGUGCAGAAUUCCCGGUGUAGUGGUGGAAUGCGUAGAGAUCGGGAGGAAUACCAGUGGCGAAAGCGGCACCCUGGCCUUAGUCUGACGCUCAGGUGCGAAAGCGUGGGGAGCGAACGGGAUUAGAUACCCUGGUAGUCC
rnacentral:rRNA from 1 species